GUUCCACUGCAGACGUGUACACACGAUGGAUAGAAUAUUUUUGAAAUUUUUUUCUGUUAUGAUCAUUUUUUUCGUUUUUGACUUUGACGAUAUUGACAAAAUUUUGUUGAUCAUUUUUAUAGUUAUUUUGAUAUUUUUGCCAAGGAAUUAAUUCUCGCUUUGAAAAUACCAUAUCCUAUUGUCUUCUCAUCCCAAAAUUGCAAAUCACGGGAAUUUUAUGUACAGAAUGUUGAUCAAAGCGGCAGCAUUUUUUGGCCCCCCCCCCCCGUCUCGACCGAAAUCAUACCUGGAAAUCGCUGAGGACCUGCAUGGUACCACAGUGACAAUCCUUCUGUUUCUUACUUUUCUACACAAAUGUGCCUGUGACAUUGUUAUCGCAUUUUCGAAGAAGUGACGAGGGAAUCGUAAAAGAGUUGCGCUAGUUUAUGGUCAAAUGUGCGCCCCCCGAGAUGCGUAUCAUCAAAAUAUAUUUUGUUUUUAUGGCGCAAAUUUAAGUAGCAAUUUUAUGAUUCCAUAUUAUUUACGACGCAUAUUUGUCACCUUACUUAUCAUUUCUAAAAAAUUUAAAAGAAUA